UAGGGGGGGUGUGAGCGUUAUUCGGAAUUACUGGGCGUAAAGCGCGUGUAGGCGGGAAGGCAAGUCUGAUGGGAAAGCCCCGGGCUUAACCUGGGAAGUGCAUUGGAAACUGCCAUUCUUGAGUGCUGGAGAGGAAGGGGGAAUUCUCGGUGUAGAGGUGAAAUUCGUAGAGAUCGGGAGGAAUACCAGUGGCGAAGGCGCCCUUCUGGACGGCAACUGACGCUGAGACGCGAAAGCGUGGGGAGCAAACAGG
rnacentral:rRNA from 1 species